rnacentral:rRNA from 1 species
CAUGCAAGUCGAACGGAAACCUUCGGGUUUUAGUGGCGAACGGGUGAGUAACACGUAAGCAACCUGCCCUUAAGACGAGGAUAACAAUUGGAAACAGUUGCUAAGACUGGAUAGGAAAAGUAAAGGCAUCUUUACUUUUUUAAAAGACCUUCUUUGAAGGUAUGCUUAAGGAGGGGCUUGCGACACAUUAGUUAGUUGGCAGGGUAAAGGCCUACCAAGACUAUGAUGUGUAGCUGGACUGAGAGGUUGAACAGCCACAUUGGGACUGAGACACGGCCCAAACUCCUACGGGAGGCAGCAGUAGGGAAUUUUCGGCAAUGGAGGAAACUCUGACCGAGCAACGCCGCGUGAACGAUGAAGUACCUCGGUAUGUAAAGUUCUUUUAUUAAGGAAGAAAAAAGAGUGGAAAAACUCCCUUGACGGUACUUAAUGAAUAAGCCCCGGCUAAUUAUGUGCCAGCAGCCGCGGUAAUACAUAAGGGGCGAGCGUUAUCCGGAAUUAUUGGGCGUAAAGGGUGCGUAGGCGGUUUAAUAAGUCUAUAGUUUAAUUUCAGUGCUUAACGCUGUUGUGCUAUAGAAACUGUUUUACUAGAGUGAGUUAGAGGCAAGCGGAAUUCCAUGUGUAGCGGUAAAAUGCGUAAAUAUAUGGAGGAACACCAGAGGCGUAGGCGGCUUGCUGGGACUUUACUGACGCUGAGGCACGAAAGCGUGGGGAGCAAACAGGAUUAGAUACCCUGGUAGUCCACGCCGUAAACGAUGAGUACUAAGUGUCGGGUAAAACCGGUACUGAAGUUAACACAUUAAGUACUCCGCCUGAGUAGUACGUACGCAAGUAUGAAACUUAAAGGAAUUGACGGGACUCCGCACAAGCGGUGGAUCAUGUUGUUUAAUUCGAAGAUACACGAAAAACCUUACCAGGUCUUGACAUUUUCUUGCGAAGUUAUAGAAAUAUAAUGGAGGUUAUCAGGAAAACAGGUGGUGCAUGGUUGUCGUCAGCUCGUGUCGUGAGAUGUUAGGUUAAGUCCUAAAACGAGCGCAACCCUUGUCGUUAAUUGCCAGCAUGUAAUGAUGGGGACUUUAACGAGACUGCCAAUGAAAAAUUGGAGGAAGGUGGGGAUUACGUCAAAUCAUCAUGCCCCUUAUGAUCUGGGCUACAAACGUGAUACAAUGGUUGAUACAAAGAGUAGCUGAAACGCGAGUUCUUAGCCAAUCUCACAAAAUCAAUCUCAGUUCGGAUUGAAGUCUGCAACUCGACUUCAUGAAGUUGGAAUCGCUAGUAAUCGCGAAUCAGCAUGUCGCGGUGAAUACGUUCUCGGGGUUUGUACACACCGCCCGUCAAACCACGAAAGUUGGCAAUACCCCAAAGCGGUCACCUAACUUCGCAAGAAGAAGGAUCCGUCUAAGGUAGGGUCGAUGAUUGGGGUUAAG